UACGUAGGGUGCUAGCGUUGUCCGGAAUUACUGGGCGUAAAGGGUUCGUAGGCGGCUUUUUAAGUCAGGUGUUAAAGAUCAUGGCUCAACCAUGGUACGCACUUGAAACUGGAAGGCUUGAGUUAAGGAGAGGAAAGUGGAAUUUCUAGUGUAGCGGUGAAAUGCGUAGAUAUUAGGAGGAAUACCAGUGGCGAAGGCGACUUUCUGGACUUAUACUGACGCUGAGGAACGAAAGCAUGGGUAGCAAACAGG
rnacentral:rRNA from 1 species